rnacentral:rRNA from 1 species
GGAGUCUAGCAUGUGCGCGAGUCAUUGGGACAUAACUAAACCUAAAGGCGCAAUGAAAGUGAAGGUCCGCCUCGCGCGGAUCGAGGGAAGAUGGGCGGUCUACCGAAACGUGGCCGCCCCGCAUUCCCGGGGCGUCUCGUUCUCAUCGCGAGAAGAGGCGCACCAAGAGCGUACACGCUGGGACCCGAAAGAUGGUGAACUAUGCCUGGUCAGGACGAAGUCAGGGGAAACCCUGAUGGAGGUCCGUAGCGAUUCUGACGUGCAAAUCGAUCGUCGGAACUGGGUAUAGGGGCGAAAGACUAAUCGAACCAUCUAGUAGCUGGUUCCCUCCGAAGUUUCCCUCAGGAUAGCUGGCGCUCGUUGCGCACGAGUCUCAUCCGGUAAAGCGAAUGAUUAGAGGCAUUGGGGUCGAAACGGCCUCAACCUAUUCUCAAACUUUAAAUGGGUGAGAUCUCCGGCUUGCUCGAACUACUGAAGCCGCGAGAUACGGAUCAGAGUGCCAAGUGGGCCAUUUUUGGUAAGCAGAACUGGCGCUGUGGGAUGAACCAAACGCCGAGUUAAAGCGCCUAAAUCGACGCUUAUGGGACACCAUGAAAGGCGUUGGUAACUUAAGACAGCAGGACGGUGGCCAUGGAAGUC